UGUUUUGUUUACAGAUAUAAGAUACCACUUGGAGACGUAAUCAUUACAGCAGGCUAGUUUUGGUUGCAGUCUCCGCUUAAUAUUCCCAGGUUAAUUCAUACUCUGUUGUAACAUUUUAAUAUUUUAUUUUCACCAACAUACUCUCUCUCUCUCUCUGGGAUCUGCAGACAAUCAAAUUUGCAGCUAUGGAAGCUUCUUCAGGUUUAACGACAACUUCGGAAUCUAUCAACCACAGUGAUGAUGGCGAAAAGUAUGCUAAUGGUGUCAACUGGGAUGAACUGGCAUUUGGAAUAACUCCAACUGAUUCGAUGUACACCAUGAACUGCUCCGAUGAAAAUAACUUUUCACAAGGACAUCUCAUUCCCUAUGGAAAUAUUGAGCUUUGUCCAUCUGCUGGAAUUUUGAAUUAUGGAUAGGGAGUACUUGAAGCUCUUAAGGCGGUAAGAACAGAAGAUGGU
rnacentral:lncRNA from 1 species